UUCGUAGGCGGUGCGGCAAGUCGGGAGUGAAAUCUCUGGGCUUAACUCAGGGGCUGCUUUCGAAACUGCCGUGCUCGAGUGCGAGAGAGGUCAGUGGAAUUGCAGGUGUAGCGGUGAAAUGCGUAGAUAUCUGCAGGAACACCCGUGGCGAAGCGGCUGACUGGAUCGCAACUGACGCUGAGGAACGAAAGCUAGGGGAGCAAACAGGAUUAGAUACCCUGGUAGUCCUAGCCCUAAACCAUCAGGACUUGGGGUGGCCCGCGUAGGCGGGUCGUCCCGUAGCUAACGCGUUAAGUCCUGCGCCUGGGGAUACGGUCGCAAGACUGAA
rnacentral:rRNA from 1 species